UAUCUCUGUAGAGUCUGCAUAUCAAUAAGCGGAGGAAAAGAAACUAACAAGGAUUCCCCUAGUAACGGCGAGUGAAGCGGGAAGAGCUCAAAUUUGAAAUCUUCAAGGUUUGACCUUGACGAAUUGUAGUUUAAAGAAGUGUUUUCGGUUAGAGGAGUGGUAAAAGUUCUUUGGAAUAGGACAUCAUAGAGGGUGAGAAUCCCGUAUUUGGUUAUUCAUUCUAGCUUUGUGAUACACUUUCAAAGAGUCGGAUUGUUUGGGAAUGCAGUCCAAAAUGGGUGGUAAAUUUCAUCUAAAGCUAAAUAUUGGCGAGAGACCGAUAGCGAACAAGUACCGUGAGGGAAAGAUGAAAAGAACUUUGAAAAGAGAGUUAAACAGUACGUGAAAUUGUCAAAAGGGAAGCGUUUGACACCAGUGUUGUUUUUCCGAAAAUCAAUUACGAAUGGCUUGAUUUUGUGUUGUAUUGACCUUAUCAGCUUUCUUCACUUUUUUCGAGUCUUUCUUAAUGCACUUUUCGGUUAACAAGUCAACAUCAAUUUCUUUUGUUGUAAAAGAGUAUUCGGAAGGUGGCUUUCUUUUCGGAGAAAGUGUUUAUAGCCCUAUACUUCUACAAUCGGAGAGAUUGAGGUCUGCAGCGUAGAUCCUUCGGGGUUAGAUACACUUGUGCUAAGUUGUAGCUUUUCAUAGACAACUUGUUGACUAUGUUUAGUCAUGCGGCUUACUCGCUUGUGCUAUUUUACCUACGCUUAGGAUGUUGAACUACUGAGACAUAGA
rnacentral:rRNA from 1 species